UACGGGGGGGGGCAAGCGUUGUUCGGAAUUACUGGGCGUAAAGGGCUCGUAGGCGGCCAACUAAGUCAGACGUGAAAUCCCUCGGCUUAACCGGGGAACUGCGCUUGAUACUGGAUGGCUUGAGAUUGGGAGAGGGAUGCGGAAUUCCAGGUGUAGCGGUGAAAUGCGUAGAUAUCUGGAGGAACACCGGUGGCGAAAGGCGGGCA
rnacentral:rRNA from 1 species